rnacentral:rRNA from 1 species
UCUUAGCUUGCUAAGGCCGAUGGCGACCGGCGCACGGUGUGAGUAACACGUAUCCAACCUGCCGUCUACUCUUGGACAGCCUUCUGAAAGGAAGAUUAAUACAAGAUGGCAUCAUGAGUCCGCAUGUUCACAUGAUUAAAGGUAUUCCGGUAGACGAUGGGGAUGCGUUCCAUUAGAUAGUAGGCGGGGUAACGGCCCACCUAGUCUUCCAUGGAUAGGGGUUCUGAGAGGAAGGUCCCCCACAUUGGAACUGAGACACGGUCCAAACUCAUACGGGAGGCAGCAGUGAGGAAUAUUGGUCAAUGGGCGAGAGCCUGAACCAGCCAAGUAGCGUGAAGGAUGACUGCCCUAUGGGUUGUAAACUUCUUUUAUAAAGGAAUAAAGUCGGGUAUGGAUACCCGUUUGCAUGUACUUUAUGAAUAAGGAUCGGCUAACUCCGUGCCAGCAGCCGCGGUAAUACGGAGGAUCCGAGCGUUAUCCGGAUUUAUUGGGUUUAAAGGGAGCGUAGAUGGAUGUUUAAGUCAGUUGUGAAAGUUUGCGGCUCAACCGUAAAAUUG